rnacentral:lncRNA from 1 species
CUUUACAACCAUUAACAAUUUAAAAUUAACUGUGAUUCCUCACAAUAAGGCUUUCUAUCUAUAUCCAUCACUAUCUGGGAUUCCCCUGAUUGAAUGGGAUCGAAGAGGCAUGACUGCGUCUGUGAGCUCCAUGGACUUUAUGUGGACCUGCUAAAAGAAGAUAAACUGACGGUGAUUAAGUAUUUCUCUAUACUACCUGUCAACAACUCUUCAUUUUAUGAAGCCAGGUAGGGGACAAGACUGUUGGCCAUCGGAGUAUUCCGUCUUUCUGAGCCCUGUAGCUGCAACUAAAGAGUGGAGAAAGUUAAGUACUAGAAUUUAAGACUAUUAUCAUCAUCCUUUCCUGGGACUUUGCCUCUGUCCUAGCAAUUACAGGCCUAUAUAUAAAGUCUUAGUCUCUCCCUUAUUCCCUUUUUCUAGUUGAGAUUGCUCUGUUUAAUCAAAGCCUGUUUCCAUGGUUAUUGUGAAGAUUCAAAGAGAUUUUAUACACACA